CCAGACUCCUACGGGAGGCAGCAGUGGGGAAUAUUGGGCAAUGGGCGCAAGCCUGACCCAGCAAUGCCGCGUGAAGGAAGAAGGCCCUCGGGUUGUAAACUUCUUUUAUCAGGGACGAAGGAUGUGACGGUACCUGAUGAAUAAGCUCCGGCUAACUACGUGCCAGCAGCCGCGGUAAUACGUAGGGAGCAAGCGUUAUCCGGAUUUACUGGGUGUAAAGGGCGCGUAGGCGGGAUGGCAAGUCAGAUGUGAAAACCAUGGGCUCAACCUGUGGCCUGCAUUUGAAACUGUGUUUCUUGAGUACUGGAGAGGCAGACGGAAUUCCUAGUGUAGCGGUGAAAUGCGUAGAUAUUAGGAGGAACACCAGUGGCGAAGGCGGUCUGCUGGACAGCAACUGACGCUGAGGCGCGAAAGCGUGGGGAGCAAACAGGAUUAGAUACCCCCGUAC
rnacentral:rRNA from 1 species